AACGAACGCUGGCGGCAUGCCUAACACAUGCAAGUCGAACGAGACCUUCGGGUCUAGUGGCGCACGGGAGCGUAACGCGUGGGAACCUGCCCUUAGGUUCGGAAUAACUCCCCGAAAGGGGUGCUAAUACCGGAUAAUGUCUUCGGACCAAAGAUUUAUCGCCUUUGGAUGGGCCCGCGUUGGAUUAGCUAGUUGGUAGGGUAAAAGCCUACCAAGGCGACGAUCCAUAGCUGGUCUGAGAGGAUGAUCAGCCACACUGGGACUGAGACACGGCCCAGACUCCUACGGGAAGCAGCAGUGGGGAAUAUUGGACAAUGGGCGAAAGCCUGAUCCAGCAAUGCCGCGUGAGUGAUGAAGGCCUUAGGGUUGUAAAGCUCUUUUACCCGGGAUGAUAAUGACAGUACCGGGAGAAUAAGCUCCGGCUAACUCCGUG
rnacentral:rRNA from 1 species